AGGAGUGGCUGGCUCAGCAAGAUUAGAGCCUCUCUCUGGAUUGUUCCUCAGAACCAGAAGAACUGUGUGGAGUGGCAGCAACUGGAGGAAGCAGAAUGUCCCCGAGCAAGUCUCCUACUGUUCUCAAAUACAACGUCUAUUUUCUCCUUAUCGCAUGUCUUUAGUUGAUGAAAGAGGGUAAUACCCUGGCUUCAUGCUCAUAUUUAUCAAGCAUUUCUGGAGCAGCUCCUACAUUCCAAACUCUAAAUUGAGUGUUGAAAGGUGGGACAGUGAACAAAACAGACCCAAACUUGAUGGCAGAACCCAUGGACUAGCCUGCCCCACAGGGUCUGGUGGAAGAUAUGCUCCACUGAACUGACAAAAAUACACAACUAUAUGACUUACAAAUGAGCAAACAACCUAUCCAUGCUUGGAGAGUCCAGAAGCCUUCCUGGAGUUGGUGACAUCGAAGUGGAGAGUGACAGAUGAAAAUGGCGUGAAGCAAACAAGGGAAGGGUUUUCCAAGCCAAGAAAGCAGAGUGAAUGAAGUCAGGUUCAACCAUGUUGGCUUUUUUGUUUAUUAUUGUCUACCUGCUUGUGUAUGGCUUUAAGAUGGUAGAUACAAAUUCUUAAAUCUUUGUACAAAAGGGGCAAGGAAGUUGGAAUGAGCCGUUGGGUAUUAGCUGUGUAAAUCUCUAUUUUUCCUUCUGCAUGUGGCCACAUGCUACUUCAAUGUUAUGUUCUUUUCUCAUUUUUUUGCACUAUUUACACACAGAAAAAAAUCAUUUUGGCCAACAAUGUUUAUUUAAGAUCAACUUGAUACUCACUGAUGCUCUAAUAUGUGCCUUUAACAAAAGCCUCCUGAAGCAAAACUCACGCAGUAAACCGUCUUUGUUAUCUAUCACUUCUAGAUCCAAGAAGUGUCAUCAGUGCAUCAAAGCCAGGAAGCAGAUAGAAAAUCAGGUUUAGAAAUCCAAGAUCAAGACAGUGACAGGUCAAGUUCAGGAGAGGUGGAGGAGUCAGAGAGCAGGAGCAUAAUUAGAGCAUAAUUGAAACCCAAGGUGACCUCUGCCUUAAACAGGAUUUGAGGACAGCCCCUGUAAUUGGAUUCAGGGGUCUACACAACUCUAAGUUUACGAGAAACCUCAUAGAGUGAACCUUGGGAAUACAGGAACCCCAACAUAUAUUCACUCAUGUGUGCACCCCCCAAAAAGCACAAGAAUAUUUACAGGAACACUAUAAAAUCCCCAUAUGGGAAACAGUAGAAUGGGUAAAUUGUGGGUUUUUUACACAGUGAAAUACAAUUCUGCAAUGUGAAUAGACUUACAACACAACUACAUUUGAAAAUGACACUGAAUCUUACAAAUAUAAUGAUAUGGGGAGGGAACCACACAUAAAAGGCACAUAUUUUUAUGAAUUGUGCCUUUUGGUCUCAUUUUUAUGAAGUUUAAGAACAAGCAAAAGUAAUUUAGGGUAUUAGAAGUUCUGACAGCUGUUUCCCUUGUACAGGGCAAAUGGGUAGUGUCUGGAGGGAACACAGGAGUGGCAGGGAUUCUGGAGUGCGAAUAAUCUGGUUUUUGAUCUGGGUGCUGUUUAUAACAGUAUGUUCAACUUGUGGAAAUGCAAUAAGUAAUACACUUAAUUUUGUACUUUUGUAUAUAAUGCUAUACUUUAGUUAAGGUUUGGGGAGAAAAUAGGAAUAUAGAUAGACCUCUGGGAUGACUGGGGAUGUUGAAAAAUACACUUUGAAAAUUGUUUGAAAAAUACUGACCUAAAAAUUCAUCAAACUGUGUUCAGCAACUUUAAAUGACUGCGAAGAAAAUUUGGGUAACCUGUUGAGAAGAAUCAGGACUCUGAGCUUUCAUUAGCUGAACUCUGUUUAACUCCACUUAGAGCCUACAUGCCCACUCAAGUUUUUCAGGGGAUAAGUCCUUGUUGCUUGCUACAACUACUUACUAGUCACCAUCAUUUGGCUGAUCAUUUGCAUCUCACAUAGAUAACUUUUUUUUUCCUGAGGAAUGGUUCGUCACAUCUGUGGAUAGCAACAAAUCAUACAUGAACAAAUUUUACUUUAUGUUAAUUGUAAGAGACAGUUUUACUGGAUUCUGUGAAAUAAACCAGUAUAUGGGUUUAACUGUCUAACUACUUAUAUAAACAUUUCAUCAUCUAGGUACGUAUCUGUCCCUCUUCUAACAUUUAUUAAAAAUGUUUAAGUUCCCUGUUAAUGAGCACUGAGUUUUAAUUUGUGCUCAAGAUCACUUUGUCUAAUAACAUUUACCUUAGCGGGAUAUUACUGGUGUAAUCAAUUAAAUAUUUUCUAAAUAAUGGGAAUUACAAGCACACAAACAUCUACUGGGCAAGAUGGGUGAAGAGUAAAGGCAGUAGUGAGAAACAAGUGUAAGCCAGUUAAUUCAGUUUCAGCUUGUAAGUUUUCAGUGUUUAGAUUUAAAACCAAAAAAUCCAAAAUCUGAAUUACCUAAUUUUCUGAUUAAAUUUAGAAAAUUAAAAUUGUCAAUGAACUUAAAAAUUUUUAACUUUGUAUAAGCCUAACAAACCAUAUCUAUAGGCAGGAUUCAGUUCACACAUUGUCAGUCUGAGCCUUCCACAAGCAUGAUUUUAAUCACUCUUCACAAAUGUCCUAUGAGGUGGGCAUUGUACAGAGAAGGAAACCGAGGCGCAUAGAAAGUGUAGCGUAUUGGUCAAGUUCACACAGCUAAGAAGAGCCAAGCUAGAGUAAAGUCCAAGUCUAAUUAUCAAAAUUACUAUUCAUUUCCCCAAUGAGAAAAAAGCCUCACUGCAUAUCACUAUGCUGGGAUUAACAAUCAAAUUAUGGUUUUUUACUUACAGGUAUGAUGGGAAAAAAGAUGGAGGAAAUAUUUGCAUUAUUUGCUAAGGAAUUUUUUCUUUUGGAAAUUGGCUUAAAAUUCUGUACUACAGAGAGUAUAUACCACUCAGUAUUGGAUUCAUCUUUCUUUUUCUGGCAAUAAUAUUCAUUAUAAGACACAAGAAAUAAACCAAUCACCUUAUCUUAGACUAUCCAAAGACUACAAAGGGACUUGUCUUAAAAUUACAUGUGUGGAUGGCAACAACUCAUACAUUUCCAAAUUUUAGUUUAUGUUAAUUGUAAGAGUUGGUUUUACUGGAUUUUGUGAAAUAAACCAGUAUUUGGGUUUAACUGUCUAACUACUUACAUAAACAUUUCAUCAUCUAGGUACAUAUCUGUGCCUCUCCUAUCGUUUAGUAAAAAUGUUUAAAUUCCCUGUUAAUGUCUUCUAAUGGAAUGGAUCUAUGGAGGGUGAGGAUUCCACCUUUUUGGUUUUGAUUGCAGCAAGCUUUUUGAAUGUUUAUCUUCAGUAUAUUUUUCCAGAUAAUUAAUUAAUUCAAUUUCAGUGAGACCAUCCAUGCUUAUAUCUAUUUUGUUGUAAUCCUUUCUCUUUUUUGACAAACGAAUAAAAAAAACUUAUUAGGAGAACAAAAACAUAGAAUUGCUAGGAACUGUUCAUGUAUGUCCCAAACUGAUAUUAAAAUAGAUUUUG
rnacentral:lncRNA from 1 species